GCUUAAGCCUCAGGCUGAGAUAUCAAGACAGGUUCUAUCCCUGAGGAGCUGACUUGGCACUCCAGGCUUCCCAGGGCCUGAUCCAGGUGCCUGACAAGACUUUAAACCACUGUUAACUCUGCAUGAUGGUCCUGCCAUCACUAACAUCCACUGCGGAUGCUCCAUCCUGGGCUGGAGAAAACACCAGAGGAUUGAUUUAAAUUGGAGAGAGGACUCAGAGGUCACCUGGACCAGCUCCCUCAUCUUUCAGAAGAGGAGAGGCCAUAGAAGGAAAGCGGCCAUCCAAGGUUGUAGCCAAGGUCACGGGGCUGGGUCUCCCAAUCUAGGCUCAUUCACUGCCCCCUCGUGCACCUUCUGCUCUGGGCUGACACUUAGGGUGGUCCCUGGGCUGGCCGUUGGCUAGAUGUGACCAACAGGAGACAAGCCCUGCCCUCAAGGAGCAUACACUGUACCGGGGGAAGGGCAGGAAAGAAUUAGUGGGAAGAUAACCAAAUACAUAAUCCAUACAAAGUAAGUGCAACAUCGUUUGGAAGCUGCCUGGAAAUUUGUGGGACUGUUAUGAUCAAUCCAGAGGUGACCUUGUCCAAGGUCACUGAGACUCAGAUUUGGGAGUUCAAAAGCCCAAGUUGGAAUCCUGGCUUGGUGUGACCUUGGGCAAGUCUUUUCCCCCAUUUCAGGCUCCAGUCUUCUCCUAGGAGAAGGAGGGGGAGCAGCUUCCUAAAUCUAAUAAGAUCUUUUAGUCAAUCUGUUAGUCAGGGACAGAGCUGAGAAUAUACCC